UACGUAGGGCGCAAGCGUUGUCCGGAAUUAUUGGGCGUAAAGAGCUCGUAGGCGGCUUGUCGCGUCGGUUGUGAAAGCCCGGGGCUUAACCCCGGGUCUGCAGUCGAUACGGGCAGGCUAGAGUGUGGUAGGGGAGAUCGGAAUUCCUGGUGUAGCGGUGGAAUGCGUAGAUAUCGGGAGGAACACCAGUGGCGAAGGCGGUUGCCUGGAGCUUUGCUGACGCUGAUGCGCGAAAGCGUGGGGAGCGAUCCGG
rnacentral:rRNA from 1 species